CUGACUCGUCUGUACGAGAAUCGUGCAGUAGUUAAAAUAGUAGCCUUUGCACCAGUAUUUGACAUUGUCCCGGUAAAAGGGAUGAUAUUGGCAGACGAUGUGAACGGAUCCGCCUGCACAUUGCUUCACUUCGCUAGAUGCUGACAAAUGAUGCAUCAGGGUUUUUUUUCUCUGGACCUUCUUGGUUUUAUCCGUCUACUUGAAGCCAUGGUUCAAAAAGAGCUUACAGAGCAUCAGAGUAGUUGAAAUGUACUGAUCAAGUGAUGGGUACAAAAGCUGCCGAGACACCGACAGCACCAUGAAUGGAGCUGCAGGAACAUCUGGAACCUUGUGAUGACCCCCUGCAUGUGACAACAAGCUCUCAUUUUUUUCAUUUUAUGUGGCCUAAAAAAAUUGUCACUUCAACCCAUGUGUGAAAAUAAAUGUGUUAAUGAGACCAAAGUGCAAAUGUUCUUCAGAGCUUAUUUCUCAAAUAAAAUACCACCAUACCGGUGGUAAAGCAUGGUGGCGGCGGCAUCAUGCUAUGGGAACGCUUCUCAUCAGAGUGGUGAGACUGGUGCUUUUCUCAGAACAGAUAGAAUAAUGGAUGGAUUCUUGAAGAAUGUACUUAUGAUGAUUACUACCCAAAAAUUUGGAAUGGCCCAAUCAGAGUCCGGAUCUAAAUCCUGACUCUUAUUCAAAAAGGUCUGAGUGCUUUGUUAGGAGUAAAAGUUGCUUUAACCAAGUGUUAUAUAAACAGGGUUCCAUAAAAUGUUAUUGGCUGUGCCAUCUCUGUAACAGAAAUUCAUUCAUUCAUUUUCUACCGCUUA